rnacentral:rRNA from 1 species
GAUGAACGCUGGCGGCGUGCCUAAUACAUGCAAGUCGAGCGAACAGACGAGGAGCUUGCUCCUCUGACGUUAGCGGCGGACGGGUGAGUAACACGUGGAUAACCUACCUAUAAGACUGGGAUAACUUCGGGAAACCGGAGCUAAUACCGGAUAAUAUAUUGAACCGCAUGGUUCAAUAGUGAAAGACGGUUUUGCUGUCACUUAUAGAUGGAUCCGCGCCGCAUUAGCUAGUUGGUAAGGUAACGGCUUACCAAGGCAACGAUGCGUAGCCGACCUGAGAGGGUGAUCGCCCACACUGGAACUGAGACACGGUCAAGACUCCUACGGGAGGCAGCAGUAGGGAAUCUUCCGCAAUGGGCGAAAGCCUGACGGAGCAACGCCGCGUGAGUGAUGAAGGUCUUCGGAUCGUAAAACUCUGUUAUUAGGGAAGAACAAAUGUGUAAGUAACUAUGCACGUCUUGACGGUACCUAAUCAGAAAGCCACGGCUAACUACGUG